GAUGAACGCUAGCGGCGUGCCUAAUGCAUGCAAGUCGAACGGGAUCCUUUGGAUUCGUCUGAAGGUGAGAGUGGCGAACGGGUGAGUAACACGUUGGUGACCUACCCCAGAGAGGGGGAUAACUAUUGGAAACGAUAGCUAAUACCCCGGAUGUCAUUAUUGUUAGAGAGUAAUGACUAAAGCUCCGGCGCUCUGGGAGGGGCCUGCGGCCCAUCAGCUAGUUGGUAGGGUAAUGGCCUACCAAGGCAGAGACGGGUAGGGGGCGUGAGAGCGUGACCCCCCACACUGGUACUGACACACGGACCAGAUACCUACGGGUAGCAGCAGCAAGGAAUAUUGCCCAAUGGACGAAAGUCUGAGGCAGCAACGCCGCGUGGAGGAAGAAGGCCUUCGGGUUGUAAACUCCUUUUCUGGGGGAAGAGAAAGGACGGUACCCUAGGAAUAAGUCUCGGCUAACUACG
rnacentral:rRNA from 1 species